AACGAACGCUGGCGGCAGGCCUAACACAUGCAAGUCGAGCGAGACCUUCGGGUCUAGCGGCGGACGGGUGAGUAACGCGUGGGAACGUGCCCUUUUCUACGGAAUAGCCUCGGGAAACUGAGCGUAAUACCGUAUACGCCCUUUGGGGGAAAGAUUUAUCGGAGAAGGAUCGGCCCGCGUUGGAUUAGGUAGUUGGUGGGGUAAUGGCCUACCAAGCCUACGAUCCAUAGCUGGUUUGAGAGGAUGAUCAGCCACACUGGGACUGAGACACGGCCCAGACUCUUACGGGAGGCAGCAGUGGGGAAUCUUAGACAAUGGGGGCAACCCUGAUCUAGCCAUGCCGCGUGAGUGAUGAAGGCCUUAGGGUUGUAAAGCUCUUUCAGCUGGGAAGAUAAUGACGGUACCAGCAGAAGAAGCCCCGGCUAACUCCGUG
rnacentral:rRNA from 1 species